rnacentral:rRNA from 2 species
AGAGUUUGAUCCUGGCUCAGGAUGAACGCUGGCGGCGUGCCUAACACAUGCAAGUCGAGCGAGAUGCUCUUGACGGAUCCUUCGGGUGACGGAUAGAGCGGAAAGCGGCGGACGGGUGAGUAACGCGUAGGCAACCUGCCCUUCACAGAGGGAUAGCCUCGGGAAACCGGGAUUAAAACCUCAUAAUGCCAUAGGAAGACAUCUUCUCUUGGCCAAAGAUUUAUCGGUGAAGGAUGGGCCUGCGUCUGAUUAGUUAGUUGGUGAGGUAACGGCUCACCAAGGCGACGAUCAGUAGCCGACCUGAGAGGGUGAUCGGCCACAUUGGAACUGAGACACGGUCCAAACUCCUACGGGAGGCAGCAGUGGGGAAUAUUGCACAAUGGGGGAAACCCUGAUGCAGCAACGCCGCGUGAAGGAAGAAGGUCUUCGGAUCGUAAACUUCUGUCCUUGGGGAAGAAUAACUGACGGUACCCUUGGAGGAAGCCCCGGCUAACUACGUGCCAGCAGCCGCGGUAAUACGUAGGGGGCAAGCGUUAUCCGGAAUUAUUGGGCGUAAAGAGUACGUAGGCGGUUCUUUAAGCGCAGGGUUUAAGGCAAUGGCUCAACCAUUGUUCGCCCUGUGAACUGGGGGACUUGAGUAUCGGAGAGGAAAGCGGAAUUCCUAGUGUAGCGGUGAAAUGCGUAGAUAUUAGGAGGAACACCAGUGGCGAAGGCGGCUUUCUGGACGAAUACUGACGCUGAGGUACGAAAGCGUGGGGAGCAAACAGGAUUAGAUACCCUGGUAGUCCACGCCGUAAACGAUGAGCACUAGUGUCGGGGCCGCAAGGUUUCGGUGCCGCAGUUAACGCAUUAAGUGCUCCGCCUGGGGAGUACGCACGCAAGUGUGAAACUCAA